rnacentral:tRNA from 1 species
UUCCAGGUAGCUUAAUACUAAAGCAUCCAACCGGCAUUUGGGCGAUCUGGGUUCAAGUCCUGGCCCGGGCU